UGAAACUGUGUCGUUUUAGUCCAGUCAUUUAAACCCCAAAAAAGAAAAUCUGUCACUAGCAGCCCAUUUUUUUACCCUAAAAAGUAAACCCCUAUUCUCUCAACUCCCUCUUCCCCUUCUGGCCAUAGCCAACGUCGGUGAAUGGCCACGCCGCCGCCACGGUCAACAGGCAGUGACGAAAGGUUAGGCUUUUCAGCCCCUUUUUAAGCCCGGUGGUCAGUGACUGGUGAUGAGAGGCCAAAUGAGGAAAAGAAAAAAUCUAGCCCCCUUUUAAGUCCGACUCCGACGACGACUAAGGGACCUCCGUCGAUGAGAUCGCGGGGCGAUUCCAGAUGGUAGCAGACACGUGGGUAGCAGCGAUAGGCGAGAGGCGGCGGUGGCCAGAGGACGUGCGAGGAGGCUGGCGGCUAUGGGCAGACCUAGGUGUGGCGCACCUAGGGUUUCCUUUGGCUAAAAAUUUUUUUAGUUUUGGGCUAGGGUUUAGUUUGGGCUGAGGGUUAAUUUGUAUUUGGGCCUGGCAUAAUUGGGUUUGUUGUAAUUUUGGGACUGUAUUUGUCUGAUUUAAGUGUGUUGGGCCCGGAUAAAAUUUGGGCUGUACAAAUAUGAGAUCCAUUAGAAAUAUCUUUUAAAAUCAAUUGAUUAAUCAUCACAAGAUAUUAAUAUAUUAGCUCUUUUGGAGCUUUCAACUAAUUUUGUACUACCAAAUAUUGGAAUAAUAUUGAUUUUAUUUUA